rnacentral:lncRNA from 1 species
UCAGCUCUCUAGCCUACUUUGUCUGAUGUCUUUACACUAUACAACAUUUUGUGCACCUAGCACUGACUAUUUAUAGCCUGGUGGUCAGUUGACACCCCUAACUGCCAAAAGGUUUGCACCACAAAGGUGUUGCCAACAAAGGGGUGGCAGUUCCCCCAAAACUGUCCACUACAGAUCAUGUCAGCAAGUGUCACGCAUCCUUAGGUCCCAGCCAUGCAACCUGUUAUCUGACCAUGUUCUCACUAACUGGUUGUUGCCCUCAACUGUUGCUUGGAUAACUGCCACAACUGUUGUCCAACACAUUCCCACCAUCUAGUAACCGCCUACAACUGCAUUGCAUGAUCUUGCCAACUGCUGCCCACUUCCUAACAUGUUGCCCCCAUGUCUUGUGCAAUCUGGCAACACACCAACUGCACACAACUGUUCCUUGACCCGCCCAAGUUGCAACCCAAACUAACUGUGCAUGCCAGCCCCAUGCAUCAAUCUUGCAUGCUGCCCAGCCCAGCAUGUCUAGCACUAUCUUGUGCUCGACCCAACACCUUUUGUUGUCACGCAGCUUAACGCCCAGCGUUGUUUGGCACUCCUCGUAGCCCAAAUGUUGUCUUUGCCCCUAACAUAGUCCAACACUGACUAGUCUAAACCUAUGCCACCUUUUGGCACGCUAGGCCCUGCCUAUGCCAUGUCCACAUUUAGCCCACCUCGUGUGUUACCAAGCAACUCAUCCGUUAGUCCUCGAUCCUAAGUCAACUGUAGCCAAACCUAGCCUUGACAUUCCUUUGCCUAGCAUUGUGCUUAGGUCUUCCUUGUUCGUGAUCAAUCCAUGCCCAACUGAUGAACGGGUCUUUGAUCCAUCAAAGUCACCUAUGCCUUGUUAGCAUUGUUGUAGGGGAGCUCAAUCAAUGCCUAAACAUGCCCCACGCAUUUCAUGACAUACUGCUCAUGACCCCGGGUGACCUUCACGGAUCACCCCCCUAUAGUAGCACUUAAGAAAAUAUCAAGUUGCCACCAACAGACAUUCAGUGUGUUUGAGGAGUCAUAAUGUAGAUCGCCUAGAUCUUAUAUUUUUCUGACAUAGUGCUCAACUGCUUGCUAGGUGCAUCUAGCGCCCUUGAUUGCCGCAUAGUGUCGCCCAAGUGAUUGUCGAGGUCCAACCUUGAUAUUUGGCCAAAGCCCAAAUCUGCCGCACGUUGUGUCAAGCUGUCUUACACUGUGCCAAGCUACUGCACAAUUUGAGUGUCAGCAUUCCUUGCCCGAGUGUCGAGGCCAUGUCAUGCCAAAAGGGUCUAACACUUAUCCAGCACAAAUUAAAGAACUGUUUUUGGCAAAUAAAGACUGAUGAGGCUUGUGAUUCCAUAUUGUAAUUGAAAAUUUUACAGUAGUAUUAAUAUUCCGUAGACUGUUCCUUACCCAAAGAAAAAAAAUCUGCCCAUGAAUCAACAUAAUUUGCAGAAUAUGGAAUCUUGAAAAAAUGAAGUUAACAACAGCUUCAAGCCUUCAAAGACUAAGCUCAUUGUAUCUACUGCACCUGUUAAUGAUUUUCAAAAUUUCUAAUUAAAUUUUGGGUGUGUUUAUUUUAUAUAUGAAGUUAAAAAGAGAAGAAAAUAUAUAUUAACUGCCAUAAAAAUGACACAUAUUAUUGUAAUAAACCAAAAAAAUUAUUGUUGUAAUAAUAGAUACAACAACAAUGGUAUUUAAU